rnacentral:misc_RNA from 1 species
CUCGUGGGGGAGCGAGGCUGUGACCCGCAAGACGCGUAUCCUUGACGUUGUGUACAAUGCUUCGAACAAUGAGCUUGUGAGGACCAAGACGCUGGUGAAGAGCGCCAUCGUGGAGGUUGAUGCUGCUCCAUUCAAGCAGUGGUAUUUGCAACACUAUGGCGUUGAAGUAGGGAGGAAGAAGAAGUCUGCGGCUGCGGUUGCGAAGAAGGAGGCUGCUGAGGGAACCAAAAAGGAGGGUGCUGAGGAGGUUGAAGGUGCUGCAGUGGAGGCGAAGAAGAGCAAUCAUGUGACAAGGAAGCUGGAGAAGCGGCAACAAGGCCGUGUUCUCCAAUCCAACAUCGAGGAUCAGUUUGGGGGUGGUAGGUUGCUAGCUUGCAUUUCUUCUCGCCCUGGUCAGUGUGGCAGAUGUGAUGGGUACAUUCUUGAAGGCAAAGAGUGGGAUUUCUACAACAGGAAAAUCCAGAAGAAGAAGGGCAAGGCUGGUGCUGCUGCUUAGG